rnacentral:lncRNA from 1 species
GAUUAUUAGCUGCUGUGGAGGCACAUACCUACCCAGCAUGCCUCGGUCCUAUAAGCCUCAGAGAGUUGUGAUCACAUGCCCUCAGGACUUCCCUCAUUGCUCCAUUCCACUACGGGUUGGGCUGCCCCUCCUCUCGCCUGAGUUCCUGCUGACUGGAGUGCUGAAGCAGGAAGCCAAGCCAGAGGCCUUUGUCCUCUCCCCUUUGGAGAUGUCAUCCACCUGAGAACUCCACUACCCUUUUCCCUCCCAGACCACGAAUUAGAAGAUAUGUGGAAGAAAGAACUCAGGGCGUUAGAAAGGAUUGGGGUAUAUUGAUACAACUUGUCCUGGAACAUGGGUGGGACCAGAAAUCUUUAUGAAUAAAUGAAAAGAUAAGGGAUUUGGAAGCCACAGGUUGUUUUUUGUUUGUUUGUUUGUUUUUUUAAUGGCCAUUUUAUUUUAUUUGUAUUUAUAGUUUUUUAUUUGUAUAGAUUUAGGGGAUACAAGAUUUCUUACAUGCAUGUAUUAAAUGGCCAUUUUAAAAUUAGCUAGUUUCAUGCUCAGAUGUCAUAAGUGGCAGCUAUCUUUAGCCAGACUGUUGCAGUUAUUGCUCGAUGCCACUCAUGGUGUCCUACCUCCUAUUUGGAAACCAUCUCUAUUUUUUUCUUACUGAGAUUCUUACUUUGGGGUCAGGAACUUGAAGGGAUGCUUGGAGUGAGUAGAUUUGAGGGUCCAGUUAUGGAGUGCUACUAAAACAUUUUCUUCUCUCCUGGCCUCUGGAAGCAUCUUUAGCUUUGACUUUGGGCAAGUCUCUGUACUUUUCUGGCCAGCUUUUCCAGGAUUUAUAAAAUUAGAGCUUCGGCUUGACCUCUGUGAUAAAUAAAUAUUCACUCUGUGCCU